rnacentral:rRNA from 1 species
CAGCAGCCACGGUAAUACAGAGGGUGCGAGCGUUAAUCGGAUUUACUGGGCGUAAAGCGUGCGUAGGCGGCUAAUUGAGUCGGAUGUGAAAUCCCCGAGCUUAACUUGGGAAUUGCAUUCGAUACUGGUUAGCUAGAGUGUGGGAGAGGAUGGUAGAAUUCCAGGUGUAGCGGUGAAAUGCGUAGAGAUCUGGAGGAAUACCGAUGGCGAAGGCAGCCAUCUGGCCUAACACUGACGCUGAGGUACGAAAGCAUGGGGAUCAAACAGGAUUAGAUACCCCGGUAGUCCCUGUCUCUUAUAC